UACGUAGGCAGCGAGCGUUGUUCGGAAUUACUGGGCGUAAAGAGUGUGUAGGCGGUGCUCUAAGUUCGGUGUGAAAUCUCCUGGCUCAACUGGGAGGGUGCGCCGGAAACUGGAGUGCUUGAGUGUGGGAGAGGAAAGCGGAAUUCCUGGUGUAGCGGUGAAAUGCGUAGAUAUCAGGAGGAACACCUGUGGUGUAGACGGCUUUCUGGACCAUAGCUGACGCUGAGACACGAAAGCGUGGGUAGCAAACAGG
rnacentral:rRNA from 1 species